UACGUAGGGGGCAAGCGUUGUCCAGAAUCAUUGGGCGUAAAGCGCGUGUAGGCGGUUCGAUAAGUCUGCUGUGAAAGUCCAGGGCUCAACCCUGGAAAGCCGGUGGAUACUGUCGGACUAGAGUGCGGAAGAGGCGAGUGGAAUUCCCGGUGUAGCGGUGAAAUGCGCAGAUAUCGGGAGGAACACCAAUUGCGAAGGCAGCUCGCUGGGACGUUACUGACGCUGAGACGCGAAAGCGUGGGGAGCAAACAGG
rnacentral:rRNA from 1 species